UCUCGCUUUGUGGAACAGGUAAACACGACAGACUUAAAAUCUGUACCCUUUUUAGGGUUAUCGUUCAAGUCCGAUAGCGAGAA
rnacentral:tRNA from 1 species